rnacentral:rRNA from 1 species
AUGCAGUCGAACGAUGAAGCCCGGCUUGCUGGGCGGAUUAGUGGCGAACGGGUGAGUAACACGUGAGUAACCUGCCCUUGACUCUGGGAUAAGCCCGGGAAACUGGGUCUAAUACCGGAUAGGAACGCCUAUCGCAUGAUGGGUGUUGGAAAGAUUUUUCGGUCAUGGAUGGACUCGCGGCCUAUCAGCUUGUUGGUGAGGUAAUGGCUCACCAAGGCGACGACGGGUAGCCGGCCUGAGAGGGUGACCGGCCACACUGGGACUGAGACACGGCCCAGACUCCUACGGGAGGCAGCAGUGGGGAAUAUUGCACAAUGGGACCGAAAUGCUCUGAAUGCAGGCAGACGCCAGCGUGAGGGAAGACCGGCCGUUCGGGGUGUAAACCUCUGUUCAAGUAGAGGAACAAGCGGAAAGUGACGGUACCUGCCAGAAGAAGCGCCGGCUUACUACGUCCACAGCCGCGGUAAUACGUAGGGUACGAGCGUUAUCCGGAAUUUAUGGGCGUAAAGAGCUCGGAGGCGGUUUGUCACGUCUGUCGUGAAAGUCCGGGACUUAACCCCGGAUCUGCGGUGGGUACGGGCAGACUAGAGUGCAGUAGGGGAGACUGGAAUUCGUGGUGUAGCGGUGGAGUGCGGCAGAUAUCAGGAGGAACCCGAUGGCGAAGGCAGGUCUCUGGGCUGUAACUGACGCUGAGGAGCGAAAGCAUGGGGAGCGAACAGGAUUAGAUACCCUGGUAGUCCAUGCCGUAAACGUUGGGCACUAGGUGUGGGGACCAUUCCACGGUUUCCGCGCCGCAGCUAACGCAUUAAGUGCCCCGCCUGGGGAGUACGGCCGCAAGGCUAAAACUCAAAGGAAUUGACGGGGGCCCGCACAAGCGGCGGAGCAUGCGGAUUAAUUCGAUGCAACGCGAAGAACCUUACCAAGGCUUGACAUGUUUUCGAUCGCCGUGGAGACACGGUUUCCCCUUUGGGGCGGAUUCACAGGUGGUGCAUGGUUGUCGUCAGCUCGUGUCGUGAGAUGUUGGGUUAAGUCCCGCAACGAGCGCAACCCUCGUUCCAUGUUGCCAGCACGUAGUGGUGGGGACUCAUGGGAGACUGCCGGGGUCAACUCGGAGGAAGGUGAGGACGACGUCAAAUCAUCAUGCCCCUUAUGUCUUGGGCUUCACGCAUGCUACAAUGGCCGGUACAAUGGGUUGCGAUACUGUGAGGUGGAGCUAAUCCCAAAAAGCCGGUCUCAGUUCGGAUUGGGGUCUGCAACUCGACCCCAUGAAGUCGGAGUCGCUAGUAAUCGCAGAUCAGCAACGCUGCGGUGAAUACGUUCCCGGGCCUUGUACACACCGCCCGUCAAGUCACGAAAGUCGGUAACACCCGAAGCCG